CGAAUGCUGACAUAAGUAACGAUAAAGCGGGUGAAAAGCCCGCUCGCCGGAAGACCAAGGGUUCCUGUCCAACGUUAAUCGGGGCAGGGUGAGUCGACCCCUAAGGCGAGGCCGAAAGGCGUAGUCGAUGGGAAACAGGUUAAUAUUCCUGUACUUGGUGUUACUGCGAAGGGGGGACGGAGAAGGCUAUGUUGGCCGGGCGACGGUUGUCCCGGUUUAAGCGUGUAGGCUGGUUUUCCAGGCAAAUCCGGAAAAUCAAGGCUGAGGCGUGAUGACGAGGCACUACGGUGCUGAAGCAACAAAUGCCCUGCUUCCAGGAAAAGCCUCUAAGCAUCAGGUAACAUCAAAUCGUACCCCAAACCGACACAGGUGGUCAGGUAGAGAAUACCAAGGCGCUUGAGAGAACUCGGGUGAAGGAACUAGGCAAAAUGGUGCCGUAACUUCGGGAGAAGGCACGCUGAUAUGUAGGUGAAGUCCCUCGCGGAUGGAGCUGAAAUCAGUCGAAGAUACCAGCUGGCUGCAACUGUUUAUUAAAAACACAGCACUGUGCAAACACGAAAGUGGACGUAUACGGUGUGACGCCUGCCCGGUGCCGGAAGGUUAAUUGAUGGGGUCAGCGCAAGCGAAGCUCUUGAUCGAAGCCCCGGUAAACGGCGGCCGUAACUAUAACGGUCCUAAGGUAGCGAAAUUCCUUGUCGGGUAAGUUCCGACCUGCACGAAUGGCGUAAUGAUGGCCAGGCUGUCUCCACCCGAGACUCAGUGAAAUUGAACUCGCUGUGAAGAUGCAGUGUACCCGCGGCAAGACGGAAAGACCCCGUGAACCUUUACUAUAGCUUGACACUGAACAUUGAGCCUUGAUGUGUAGGAUAGGUGGGAGGCUUUGAAGUGUGGACGCCAGUCUGCAUGGAGCCGACCUUGAAAUACCACCCUUUAAUGUUUGAUGUUCUAACGUGGACCCGUAAUCCGGGUUGCGGACAGUGUCUGGUGGGUAGUUUGACUGGGGCGGUCUCCUCCUAAAGAGUAACGGAGGAGCACGAAGGUUGGCUAAUCCUGGUCGGACAUCAGGAGGUUAGUGCAAUGGCAUAAGCCAGCUUGACUGCGAGCGUGACGGCGCGAGCAGGUGCGAAAGCAGGUCAUAGUGAUCCGGUGGUUCUGAAUGGAAGGGCCAUCGCUCAACGGAUAAAAGGUACUCCGGGGAUAACAGGCUGAUACCGCCCAAGAGUUCAUAUCGACGGCGGUGUUUGGCACCUCGAUGUCGGCUCAUCACAUCCUGGGGCUGAAGUAGGUCCCAAGGGUAUGGCUGUUCGCCAUUUAAAGUGGUACGCGAGCUGGGUUUAGAACGUCGUGAGACAGUUCGGUCCCUAUCUGCCGUGGGCGCUGGAGAACUGAGGGGGGCUGCUCCUAGUACGAGAGGACCGGAGUGGACGCAUCACUGGUGUUCGGGUUGUCAUGCCAAUGGCACUGCCCGGUAGCUAAAUGCGGAAGAGAUAAGUGCUGAAAGCAUCUAAGCACGAAACUUGCCCCGAGAUGAGUUCUCCCUGACUCCUUGAGAGUCCUGAAGGAACGUUGAAG
rnacentral:rRNA from 1 species